GACGAACGCUGGCGGCGUGCUUAACACAUGCAAGUCGAGCGGAAAGGCCCUUCGGGGUACUCGAGCGGCGAACGGGUGAGUAACACGUGAGUAAUCUGCCCUUGGCUUUGGGAUAACGUACCGGAAACGGUGGCUAAUACCGGGAUACGACAACUGCGUGCAUGCGUCGGUUGUGGAAAGUUUUUUCGGCCAGGGAUGUGCUCGCGGCCUAUCAGCUUGUUGGUGGGGUAAUGGCCUACCAAGGCUUCGACGGGUAGCCGGCCUGAGAGGGUGACCGGCCACACUGGGACUGAGACACGGCCCAGACUCCUAGGGAGGCAGCAGUGGGGAAUAUUGGACAAGUGGGCGGAAGCCUGAUCCAGCAACG
rnacentral:rRNA from 1 species